rnacentral:misc_RNA from 1 species
UCUCCGUAGGUGAACCUGCGGAGGGAUCAUUACUGAGUGAGGGCCUUCGGGCUCGACCUCCAACCCUUUGUGAACACAACUUGUUGCUUCGGGGGCGACCCUGCCGUCCGCUGCUGAGCGCCCCCGGGGUCAAUCAAACACUGCAUUCUCUGCGUCGGAGUAUUAGUAAAUCUAAUCAAAACUUUCUGCAACGGAUCUCUUGGUUCUGGCAUCGAUGAAGAAGGCAGC